rnacentral:rRNA from 1 species
UGCUCCAGUUGAUCGCAUGGUCUUCUGGGAAAGCUUUCGCGGUAUGGGAUGGGGUCGCGUCCUAUCACCUUGACGGCGGGGUAACGGCCCACCGUGGCUUCAACGGGUAGCCGGCCUGAAAGGGCAACCGGCCACAUUGGAACUGAAAUACGGCCCAAACUCCUACGGAAGGCAGCAGUGGGAAAUAUUGCACAAUGGGCGCAAGCCUGAUGCACCGACCCCCCGUGAGGAAUGGAGGCCUUCGGGUUGUAAACCUCUUUUAUCGGGAAGCAAGCAAAAGUGAGUUUACCCGUUGAAUAACCACCGGCUAACUACUUGCCACCAGCCGCGGUAAUACGUAGGGUGCAAGCGUUAUCCGGAAUUAUUGGGCGUAAAGGGCUCGUAGGCGGUUCGUCGCGUCCGGUGUGAAAGUCCAUCGCUUAACGGUGGAUCCGCGCCGGGUACGGGCGGGCUUGAGUGCGGUAGGGGAGACUGGAAUUCCCGGUGUAACGGUGGAAUGUGUAGAUAUCGGGAAGAACACCAAUGGCGAAGGCAGGUCUCUGGGCCGUUACUGACGCUGAGGAGCGAAAGCGUGGGGAGCGAACAGGAUUAGAUACCCUGGUAGUCCACGCCGUAAACGGUGGAUGCUGGAUGUGGGGCCCGUUCCACGGGUUCCGUGUCGGAGCUAACGCGUUAAGCAUCCCGCCUGGGGAGUACGGCCGCAAGGCUAAAACUCAAAGAAAUUGACGGGGGCCCGCACAAGCGGCGGAGCAUGCGGAUUAAUUCGAUGCAACGCGAAGAACCUUACCUGGGCUUGACAUGUUCCCGACGGUCGUAGAGAUACGGCUUCCCUUCGGGGCGGGUUCACAGGUGGUGCAUGGUCGUCGUCAGCUCGUGUCGUGAGAUGUUGGGUUAAGUCCCGCAACGAGCGCAACCCUCGCCCUGUGUUGCCAGCACGUCGUGGUGGGAACUCACGGGGGACCGCCGGGGUCAACUCGGAGGAAGGUGGGGAUGACGUCAGAUCAUCAUGCCCCUUACGUCCAGGGCUUCACGCAUGCUACAAUGGCCGGUACAACGGGAUGCGACCUCGUGAGGGGGAGCGGAUCCCUUAAAACCGGUCUCAGUUCGGAUUGGAGUCUGCAACCCGACUCCAUGAAGGCGGAGUCGCUAGUAAUCGCGGAUCAGCAACGC